GAUGAAGAACGUAGCAAAAUGCGAUAAGUAAUGUGAAUUGCAGAAUUCAGUGAAUCAUCGAAUCUUUGAACGCACAUUGCGCCCGCUGGUAUUCCGGCGGGCAUGCCUGUCUGAGCGUCAUUUCAACCCUCAUGCCCCUAGGGCGUGGUGUUGGGGAUCGGCCAAAGCCCGCGAGGGACGGCCGGCCCCUAAAUCUAGUGGCGGACCCGUCGUGGCCUCCUCUGCGAAGUAGUGAUAUUCCGCAUCGGAGAGCGAUGAGCCCCUGCCGUUAAACCCCCAACUUUCCAAGGUUGACCUCAGAUCAGGUAGGAAUACCCGCUGAACUUAAGCAUAUCAAUAAGCGAGGA
rnacentral:misc_RNA from 1 species